GCGAAUAUAGUUUAAUUAAAACAUUAGAUUGUGAUUCUAAUAAUAGAGGUUAGAUUCCUCUUGUUCACC
rnacentral:tRNA from 2 species